CGGUAGCCGCGGGAAUACGUAGGGUGCAAGCGUUAAUCGGAAUUACUGGGCGUAAAGCGUGCGCAGGCGGUUAUAUAAGACAGAUGUGAAAUCCCCGGGCUCAACCUGGGAACUGCAUUUGUGACUGUAUAGCUAGAGUACGGCAGAGGGGGAUGGAAUUCCGCGUGUAGCAGUGAAAUGCGUAGAUAUGCGGAGGAACACCGAUGGCGAAGGCAAUCCCCUGGGCCUGUACUGACGCUCAUGCACGAAAGCGUGGGGAGCAAACAGGAUUAGAUACCCCAGUAGUCCCUGUCUCUUAUAC
rnacentral:rRNA from 1 species